rnacentral:rRNA from 1 species
UACGUAGGGGGCAAGCGUUGUCCGGAAUCAUUGGGCGUAAAGAGCGUGUAGGCGGCCCGAUAAGUCCGCUGUGAAAGUCCAGGGCUCAACCCUGGAAUGCCAGUGGAAACUGUCGGGCUAGAGUCCGGAAGAGGCGAGUGGAAUUCCUGGUGUAGCGGUGAAAUGCGCAGAUAUCUGGAGGAACACCGGUGGCGAAGGCAGAUCUCUGGGCCAUUACUGACGCUGAGGAGCGAAAGCGUGGGGAGCGAACAGG